GUCACGGGUCCUCGGCAGGGCUGGACGGGGCGGAGCCCGGCCGGGAAGGGAAAAACGGAAGGCGAGGAAGUGAUGCCAAGUCGAAUUUGGGAGCCAGAAGCGGCGCGGCGCGAACGCUGCGCUGGGGCGGCUGGCGGGGCGUCAUGGAAGUGCCGGCGGUGAACCUGAAGGCUAUCAUCCUGGUACACUGGCUGCUGACGACAUGGGGCUGCAUGGCAUACUGGCUGCCAAUUUCCUACCCGUGGGGCAACUUCACCAUUCUCGCCUGGGCGUCUGGGCAGUGGCCCAAAGGGAUUCU